AUAUCAAUAAGCGGAGGAAAAGAAACCAACAGGGAUUGCCUCAGUAACGGCGAGUGAAGCGGCAAGAGCUCAAAUUUGAAAUCGGUGUCUUUGACUACCGAGUUGUAAUUUGAAGAGGAUGCUUCGGGUUGCGGCCUUGGUCUAAGUUCCUUGGAAUAGGAUGUCAUAGAGGGUGAGAAUCCCGUAUUAUGGCUAAUGGGCUUGCUUUCUAUAUGUAGCACCUUCGAAGAGUCGAGUUGUUUGGGAAUGCAGCUCAAAAUGGGUGGUAAAUUUCAUCUAAAGCUAAAUAUUGGCGAGAGACCGAUAGCGCACAAGUA
rnacentral:rRNA from 1 species